AUGGUGAAGCUGACAAUGAUAGCGCGCGUCACUGAUGGCCUUCCGCUGGCAGAAGGGCUGGAUGACGGGCGGGAUCAGAAGGAUUCUGAUUUCUACAAGCAGCAAGCUAAACUUCUUUUCAAGAACUUGUCAAAGGGGCAACAUGAAGCCUCACGGAUGUCAAUUGAGACCGGAUCAUACUUUUUCCAUUACAUCAUUGAAGGUCGAGUAUGCUAUCUAACAAUGUGCGACCGUUCUUAUCCAAAGAAACUUGCAUUCCAGUACUUGGAAGAUCUGAAAAAUGAAUUCGAGAGAGUCAAUGGAAGUCAAAUUGAAACUGCUGCAAGGCCUUACGCUUUCAUCAAGUUCGAUACAUACAUACAGAAGACUAAGAAACUGUAUUUGGAUACCAGAACCCAGAGGAACAUUGCGAAAUUGAACGAUGAGCUCUAUGAGGUGCAUCAAAUCAUGACUCGCAAUGUUCAAGAAGUUCUUGGUGUCGGUGAAAAGCUAGAUCAGGUUAGUGAAAUGUCAAGUAGGUUGACAUCUGACACGAGAAUCUAUGCUGAUAAAGCCAAGGAUCUUAAUCGCCAGGCCUUCAUUCGGAAGUAUGCUCCUGUUGCCAUUGUGAUUGGGGUUGUAAUAAUACUGUUCUGGGCCAAGAACAAGAUAUGGUGA
rnacentral:rRNA from 1 species